rnacentral:lncRNA from 1 species
GCAAUCAUUCUGGUGCACCCUUGUGUAAGAUAGUAUUUACAGCAAAACAAACAUAUCUUGUCAUGUUCAUAAACACCUCCUAGGUUUUGGGGCAUGGAUGACUCUGGCAUGAUUAAAUUCAGAGGGUGUGAUAUUUUUUUAUGUACAGCUCUUACGAAUUGUGCGCACAUUUAAGUUCUCUAAAAUCCUGGACUCUUUCACGUCCAUUAAAAGUUCAGCAGCUGACUGAAUUUCUUUGAAACAGCAAGAAUUCCAAACCUCUUGUAUCCAUUUAUCCUCUCAGCGUUCACGGAGGAGGUGUACGAGAAUGUUCGAGCAAUAUCAUUAUCAGUCAUCCACCUGAUUUGCAAGGUGUAGAUUGUGAGAAUAAAUUUUCUUUUCUAAGCUUGCCUUCUCUCUCGCUCAACAGCGGUCUAAAUUUCACAAUGAAAUGCUGAGUGAUAUAAUUCAUGUUACUUUUUAAUUUGUAAUUAAGCAGGGCUGCGAACGAGAAGCAAUACAAUGGGCACUUGAAUCUGACACUGUUCCAGCCUGCCUCCACGUCAUCGAGAUUGGGAGUAAACUCUCCAAAGUGGUAAAUAUAUCACAUGAACUUCUCAUUAAGUACACCUUCCAGUGGUUGCUUACCAGAUGUGCUGAGCUUAUUAAUUGUUCUGCAGAUUGCAAUGUCCAUAUUGGAGUCGAUUCUUCAUGAUGAU